GUGCUCACUUCAGCAGCACAUAUACUAAAAUCAGAAUGAUACAGAGAAGAUUAACAUGGCCCCUGAAGGAAAAAAAUUAUCGCUAUGUAACUACUGUGAACUAU